AAAAACAAAAAACAAACAAAAAAAGAAAAUGUGGUAUUGUGGUAUUCACGUAUAAUGGAAUAUUAAUGAGCCAUGAAAAACUGGUGUUCUGAUACAUGCUACAACAUGGAUGAACCUCGAAGACACUAUGCUAAGUGAAAUAAGCCAGACACAAAAGGAAAUCUAUUGAAUCAUUCUAUUUAUGUUAGGUGCCUAGAAUAAGCAAAGUCACAGAAACAAAGUAGAUUAGAAGUUGUCUGGGACUGGGGGAGGCAAUAAUUAAAGUUAUUGUUUAAUGGGUACAGAGCUUCUGUUGAAGGUGAUGAAAAAUUUUUGGAAAUAGCUAGUGGUGGUUGCACAUUGCAUCUGUAAUUAAUACCACUAAAUCGUGUACUUAAAAUUGGUUAAUACAGCAAAUUUUAUGUUAUAUAUUUCACUACAAUAAAAAAUGAGAUACUUAACAAGAUAUUUCUGAAAUAUCUUUGAACUCAUAUAUAUAUAUAUCUCCAUCUCCUGCGGCACAGCAGGAGAUGGCAGUGGGUGAGCCAGUACCACCUGAGCUCCGCCUCCUGUCAUAUCAGCUGCAGCAUUAGAUUCUCCUAGGAGCACGAACUCUAUUGUGAACUGCUCAAAUGAGGGAUCUAGGUUGUGCACUCCUUAUGAGCAUCUAAUGCCUGAUUCGAGGUGGAACAUUUCAUCCUGAAACCAUGCCCCACCUCUUCGUGGAAAAAUUGUCUUCCACAAAACUGGUCCCUGGUGCCAAAAAGAUUGGGGACUGUUGUGUUAGAAUUUGUCCACUAGAACGCUUCAAAGAUGGGAAAGCCCAAAAAUGGCAAACAGGAGGCUGCAGGCCAAAUCCAGCCAGGAGGUAAGUUUUGUUUGGCUUUCACAGUGUUUAUCAACACAGUAUUUAGGAUUUAAAAAAAUCAGUUGCUAAAAUUUAAAACAGGAGAGUAUCGAUAUAAAAAUUCUGAUUCCUGGUUUCUCUGGAAACAUUGAAUGAUCUGGUAAUACCAGACCCAUCUUCUCAACAGGAGUUAUGAAAUGGCUGCUCCCUUUAGGCAGUAUUUGAACUCUCUGUACUGUCUGUAUUGUUUUAUUCCCAGCUGGCUUUGUAAUUUCUGAUACUUGCAUUUGAAUUUCUGAUCCCUAACAUAAAACAAUAAUCAGGUAAAUUGUUUCUGAGGGCCCUGUCCCUGGGUUGUCAAUUUAUAUAAAGUAUUAAAUAUUUUGUUUUCUUUUAGUUUCUUUCUUGCUUCAUCUACAAUAUGGAAACAACUCUUCUAGGCUACCACAUAGGGCUUCAGAUUUCUGUAACUGACACAAAUAUGUGUAUAUAAUUUUGCAAGCAUAGAGUUAUAAAGAAGACUUAGACUAUUCAUGCAUGCAGUUCUUGAAGUUGGGUCACUGUUUUCUAGAAUAGUUAAAACAUUUUAUAACUACUUUUAUGACCACACAUUUUAUUGGUUUUAUUUUUCAUUUCAAAGAAAGUCAAAAGUAUUACUUUAGUGUUAAACAAAACUUAAUGCACAGAAGUACCCAAAAUAAAAAGAAAAAAUCCUUCCUGUUUUACUUCCCUAGGGGUAACCACAGUUAGCACUUGAGUGUUUUUCUUUCCAUACCUUUGUUUCCGUUUGUGUCUUUGUUUUAGUUUUAGGUUUUGCACCUACAAUUACAUAGAUACUAGAAUAUGUAUUUAUAUGAACAUAGAAACAUAGAACAUAUGGGUUUUUCCCAAAAAUACGUGCUUUGCAACUUGCUUUUAAAAAAUUUGACAGUAUGUCAUAAUCAUUUUUCCAUAUGUAUACACAAAUGUAUAUGCUUCAUUGUGAUGGCUACAUAGUAUUCAGAGCAUGGAUGUAAUUUAUUUUAGCACCUCACUUUUGACAGAUAUUUCAGUUAUUUCUGAUUUUUACUAAUAUAAAUGUAAUGACACUGUUUUUAGCAAUGUGAUGGGCAAAUGAUGGUGUCUCAUUUUGUUUAAUUUGAAUUUCCCUUCUUAAUCACUGAGAUGGAACAUCUUUGCCUAUGUUUAUUAGCCAUUUUUAUUUCCUCUCCUGGGAAUUGUUUAUAUCCUGAGUUGCUUACUGAACUGUGGACAUGAAAAUGUAACCAGAACAUACAUGUAUGUAGUUAUAUACUAAGGGAUGUUUCAAAACCUCACUCCUGUCUUGGAGUGUGUGUUCUUGUUCCUUCCUAGCAUGUCAGCUUCCUCUUUUUAUGGCUUGUAGAUCACCAGAUUAGCAACAUUUGUUCUUUGUUCAGAACAACUAGCUAGGGGCAACAUGUAAUUUACAAAGAAAUGUAGAGAUUACAAUCUACUGAUGGCAAAGAGAAGUAAUAGAUAUAAAACAUACAUGGAGCAAAUCUAACAAAAGAUAAUGACAAUUGCUUUCUUUUGAGCAGUGCUUUGCAGUGUUAAAGAAGAUGUGUGUAUAAAUAGCUAAAAUAUUAAGCAAAAAGUUAAGUGCUAUAGCAUCAUAAUAGGGAUUCCAGGGGAAACAGAUAUAAGUCGAGAGUGUGGGGACUGAUAUUGUGGAACCAGAAAGAACUCCAAGAAGGAUGGUAGAGAGAGAUAAAAGAAGGGAUGGGAAGCCUUCUUCGAAGUGGAAGAUAAAAAUGUGAAGAGAAAGGACAAAAGAAGGACCAGCUCCCAUUAGAUUGAGCACAGCAUUUAGAAUGCCUGGGAAGUGACACAGGAGUGAAGACUCCCCUAUUAACCUUUCUUCUGAGCACCAUACUCCUGUUAAGUCAGUCUUAAGGCUGUGCCAUUUUUAUCAGCCAUAUCUCACUAGUGGUUUAUCUGGGGUUUGAGUUGAACUGAAAUCUUCUAAUGUUUCCACACAGACAUUGUCUGUGACCACAGAAGGAAUACACUACAUGUGAACCAUUCUAUCCCUGAUUUUUAGUCACUGUGACACCCAUUAACUCAUUGAGUCCUUUAUUAUCUAAUGUGACAGCAUUCUGAAGAUAGGUACUGCCCUCCCAGUAUGCAUUAGGGCUGUGGUAGACGGUAAGGAGACAAAGGUGAACGUGGCAGGUUUCCUUCCUUGUGUAACCUCAAGUUUAUUACAGGUGGGAUAAGUGGAGUGCUUAGGUACUUGGCUAGAACAUGUGAGUACCCCAGUCUCAGAGGUAGUGUGUCUGGAUUUAAAUCUGUUUCAAGGCCUGAUCUUCACUCUUGUUAAAAGGGUUAGCCUGCAAAGGUUCUUUACCACUUGUAUGAGUCUGGUGAGACAGAGCACUCAUACAUACCAAGUUAGGCAAACAGAUGUAAUACUCACAGAUAAGCAGCAAGGAUAAACUAAAGCCUAGGAUCCAUGACAAGCUGGUCCUCCAGACCUCAGGAAAGCCGCCCAGGGUGGGUGGAGUCUCAUCUGCACAGAUCCCAUGUCACACUACAGCUAAGGAAACCGAAAGCACACCACCCUGGGCUUUUAUAUCCUGGGAGACAUGGGACUUGCUGAGUGCAAGUGUCACAGAAUAUAGCCUGGUGGUUCGGGGCCUUUCUCCUUAUCUCAGGAUGUCAUAUUCUCAGUGCAAGAAAUCUGGGUGGAUCAAGGUUAUGCAGAGACCUGUCCUCCUGCAUAGCCUUGUUGGGAAGGACCAACAGGUGGCUUGCUGGUGCCUGAGACACAAGAGACUGGUGAGAUGAGCUGAGAAUGGGAGAUAUUUAAUGGGUGCUUACUCUGUGUCACGUGACCUUCUUGCUGCUGAACAAAGUAGAUAAAUUCCUUGCCUGAAAGUAAUUAAGGAAGGGGAGAAUGGAUACUGGAGAAAAUGGUGAUCCAUCACAGCCCACUCCUUUGGCCCUCCAUGUAGCCAGGUUCACCUUUUGUCUCAGUAAUGGAGUGUAAUCACCACAUACCAACAACCCAAAGUCCUGUCUGGGGGCCACAUCCGUCCCCAAGUCCAGGAUCUCUGGGUGAUGUGCUGUCCUCUCUGUCAAGUGACAGGGUGGCUUUUGCCUCGCACGCCUGCAUCCAAUACUUAACGAUGUUGUAGAAUGGUGUGUCUGCAAUAAAAUCUCUUUCACAAAUGGAAAA